rnacentral:tRNA from 1 species
GCGCCCGUAGCUCAGCCCGGAUAGAGCCGCAGACUUCGAAUCUGAAGGCCGCAGGUUCAAAUCCUGCCGGGCGCACCA